UCUUACAGGGGAAUAACGUGCCGAAAGGCACACUAAUACCGCAUAAGACCACGAAGUCGCAUGGUUUUGAGGUCAAAGGAGCAAUCCGGUAAGAGAUGGGCUCGCGUCCGAUUAGAUAGUUGGUGAGGUAACGGCCCACCAAGUCGACGAUCGGUAGCCGACCUGAGAGGGUGAUCGGCCACAUUGGAACUGAGAGACGGUCCAAAACUCCUACGGGAGGCAGCAGUGGGGAAUAUUGGGCAAUGGGGGAAACCCUGACCCAGCGACGCCGCGUGAGGGAAGAAGGUUUUCGGAUUGUAAACCUCUGUUCUUGGUGAAGAGGGGAAGACGGUAGCCAAGGAGGAAGCCCCGGCUAACUACGUGCCAGCAGCCGCGGUAAGUGUACUC
rnacentral:rRNA from 1 species